rnacentral:lncRNA from 1 species
AUGAUGAAAGGGGCCACCUCCCUCUCUGUCGCUGAGCGUCUGGGUCCAAACCUCAGGGCUGCGACGCAGAGCACGAGGAAAGGAGUUGCCGCGAGGAAGUUUCUCGGUCCAAGGACGGGAUCCCUCAGGGGGCCCUGCGUUCUCCCUCCUGGUCUUCCUCCCGCACCGCCGCUUGGGACCCCACGAGAUUCUCCACCCCGCGCGUUCUCCUCCCGGCUCCCGGCGCUCACCACCCAACCUGGGGGCGCAUCGGGGCCUGGGCGGUGGGACCCGGCCCUCGGGACCGAAAGGCGCCCAGCGGAGAGGGGGCAGUCCUGGAAAGAAAAGGGGCUGGAGAACCAAGAGGUCACCAUUCGAUGGACAGAGACUUCACGCACCACGGCCAUAUCUAUCUGGGACCCUUCAUGUACUGUGCCUCAGGAGUACCCAUGGGAUUUUCUGUCUCUACGCCCUCAGGAAAUACUGUCUGGGCACAUAAUGGAGAGGAAGGAUCCAAACGAACGCUGAUGAACUCCAACCCUUUCCUCCUUGGAAAGAUGGAUCGGGCCUUUUGUGAUGAGGCCUCAGAGGUCACAGAGUGUAACUUCUACCGGAACCACACGUCUGCCCAAGAUCAAGGACGGGAAGCCAGUCCCACGCCGCGGGUAACGAGAGCCCCGUGUCACAGUGAGGUUAUGUGGACGGCGUCCUUGCAGGCAUUUUUGGUAAAUGCAACCCAUAGUGGGUCUCACCUGGCAUCUGAGGCGCACGCUUAUAACACUAAUACCCUCGAGGGAAGUAGCCUGUUCAAUACGAGGUGGAAGAAACUGUCGGGUUUUUAACUGGGAGCAGGAAAACUUGGAAGGAGCUUGGGCACCUUGGCUGCAUUUCCUGGUCUCCCCGGAGCCAUCAUCUCUGUCUCUGGAAAAUAUUUACCUUCGGCCAAGGAGGCGGCUCAGUCGUGGACGGGGAUGGUGAGGUCCCCACCUCUCUCUCGGGGGGAGGACGGAUUUCAGAGGGAGCCGGUCACCCCGCUUGGCAAUGAACUGCUUGGGCCGUAGGAAACCUAAUGGGACAGAACACAGUCUAAUUUUCUGGGAAAGCCGCACAGCCUCCCUGCGAUUUUGCAUCCGAUAAGAGUUCCCAUCUGGGGCUCCCUCGCGGGCUGUUCGAAACUCCCGUGUAAGAGGCAGCUCUGUACAACCAGGCUCGUCUUGGCACGGGGACGGGCUGCGUCUGGGCAGGUGAGGCUGCCUGCUCGUGAGAUGCUGGGGCCGCCCUGACGUUGCUGUCCCGCUGACUUGCCAAGGAGGGAAGUCACCGGCUGCCCCAAACAGGGUCCCGCACGGUCGGCGGAGGUCUCUGCUACAAGGUGAUGUCGGAUUGCUGCAGAGACAGCGAGGUGCCAACAUUAAAUAGAUACAGACUCCCGCCCAGACCCGCCUGGCCAAAAGGAUGACAAUAUUGGGGAGUCUCGUUACUAACACACGGCUUGAGAAACAACGCAUGGCCACCGUGGGACGGAUUGGCUUCCGGACGCACUCUUUCGUGUUCUUUGCUUAGUUCCUUUAUUACCUGUGUUUAUUGUCUAGUAAAUGGUUUGAAAUUAGAAAAAAAAAAAUCCCGAGAAGGGACAACGUUACAGUAGGAUAAAUCCUUCGAAGCGAAUGUAGAUCAACAAAGUCAACACCGGAGAUUUGCUUUUCCAAACGACACCGGGGCUGAAAUGGGACUUGAACCCCAGCGUCUCCAGACCCAAGGUCAACGUUGCCUCUGCUGCCUCCUGUUGAAUCUGUGAUGAACCCACGUGCUUAAUUGUCGGUCAGCGGCCUUCCAAAGGUCCUGGGGAAGAUAUCCUGUCACUGAGAUGUCCCCCGGGAUUGGGCAUGAUCGCUGAUGGAGAGACUCCUCUCUGUGCCUGCCCCAGGCUCAUGGGAACCAACCGGUAUAUUCGCUCCAUCUGGCUCCGUCCAUGACCCUGAGUCCGUGACCCUGAGUCCAAAUCCACUUGGAGAGAGAUGGAGACAGAAAAGGAGAUAGUGCAAAGUCCUAGAUUCUCAGAACACUGAGGAUCCCCCAGUGGGAUGAGCAAACUCUGAUGUGGUCAAUGCCUCCCUGGGACGUUGCAGCAGGAAUACUGAUGAAGAUGGAAAAUUGCAUGCUUACAGCCACUGGGAAUAUUUUGAGCCAGGCUGCGACGUUUAAACUGAAUGCGAUCUCUAAACAUAGCACAUCGAUGUCCCCAAACCAAAGCGGCCCAUCUGUAGCAGAAACAGCAACUUCUAUUUAAUGACGCUUAAGCAGGAGCAUUGCCAGAAUGAGCCUGCCUCAAGCGCACAGCCACUCCGUCCCUGGAAGCUUCCCGACGCUGCAAGCAGAGGGUGGCCGAGGUGAGCAGCAGACCCUCCAGCCUGGGGUGAUGUCUGGAAACCCGGCUGUCCGAUCCUGAAUGGAGACAUCUGGUCCAGUGUUAGCUUGAUCGUUAUCUGUCCCCAGGCAGGGCAGGUUGAAGAGGGCGGGAGGAGAUGCACCAGACCACCGUGCGUACAGACAGUGCUCCUGAUGUGGGCAGACCUGGGUUCGAAUCCCUGCGUUACUGCUGUGCGACCUUGGCCAAAUCUCCGAGCCUCUCUGAGCCUCUGUUUCCCCAGCUGCCAAGUGGAGGUGACUCUGCUGGGAGAAUAAAGAGGGAGCAGAGCCCUGCGUGUAGUCA